rnacentral:rRNA from 1 species
AACGAACGCUGGCGGCAGGCUUAACACAUGCAAGUCGAGCGCCCCGCAAGGGGAGCGGCAGACGGGUGAGUAACGCGUGGGAAUCUACCCAUCUCUACGGAAUAACGCAUGGAGACGUGUGCUAAUACCGUAUACGUCCUUCGGGAGAAAGAUUUAUCGGAGAUGGAUGAGCCCGCGUUGGAUUAGCUAGUUGGUGGGGUAAAGGCCUACCAAGGCGACGAUCCAUAGCUGGUCUGAGAGGAUGAUCAGCCACACUGGGACUGAGACACGGCCCAGACUCCUACGGGAGGCAGCAGUGGGGAAUAUUGGACAAUGGGCGCAAGCCUGAUCCAGCCAUGCCGCGUGAGUGAUGAAGGCCCUAGGGUUGUAAAGCUCUUUCACCGGUGGAGAUAAUGACGGUAACCGGAGAAGAAGCCCCGGCUAACUUCGUGCCAGCCGCCGCGGUAAGAC